rnacentral:rRNA from 1 species
GCAUGUGGUUCAAUUCGAAGCAACGCGCAGAACCUUACCAGCCCUUGACAUCCCGGUCGCGGGAACGAGAGAUCGAUCCCUUCAGUUCGGCUGGACCGGAGACAGGUGCUGCAUGGCUGUCGUCAGCUCGUGUCGUGAGAUGUUGGGUUAAGUCCCGCAACGAGCGCAACCCCCGCCCUUAGUUGCCACCAUUCAGUUGGGCACUCUAAGGGGACUGCCGGUGAUAAGCCGCGAGGAAGGUGGGGAUGACGUCAAGUCCUCAUGGCCCUUACGGGCUGGGCUACACACGUGCUACAAUGGCGGUGACAAUGGGAUGCAAUGGGGCAACCCUGCGCAAAUCUCAAAAAGCCGUCUCAGUUCGGAUUGUGCUCUGCAACUCGAGCACAUGAAGUCGGAAUCGCUAGUAAUCGCAGAUCAGCACGCUGCGGUGAAUACGUUCCCGGGCCUUGUACACACCGCCCGUCACACCAUGGGAGUUGGCUUUACCUGAAGGCGGUGCG